rnacentral:lncRNA from 1 species
GCGUAGAGAUUUGUUAUCCAUUCGAAUUCAAACAUCUUUUGAAUUUGAAUGGCCAACCAAUCUCAUCCUUAUCCAUUCAAAAUGGUGCACAAAGAAGGGGUGUGAGAUGGCUUCUACAUGGGAGAAAAUUCAUGAGAAGUUGUUUCUCAUGAAUUCAAAUGGGCGCAGAUGAGUGAGGUGGCACAGAGAGAGAAAUCUAGGUGGUUUGAAAUCCAAUUGAACCAACCUUAUUUAAAAUAGAUUAGACACAAUUAGACUAAAUUAAACCCAACACAAUUAAGCUUAAUUAGGCUCAAUAAAAUCUUAAUCAAAUCAAAAAUUGACUAAGCCCAACCUCUGAUC